rnacentral:rRNA from 1 species
GACGAACGCUGGCGGCGUGCUUAACACAUGCAAGUCGAACGGUGAAGCGCCUUCCUUUUUGGUGGGUGUGGAUGAGUGGCGAACGGGUGAGUAACACGUGAGUAAACUUCCCCGUUCUUCUGGAUAACCGCGUGAAAGUGUGGCUAAUACGGGAUAUUCCGGGUCUGUCGCAUGAUGGGUCUGGGAAAGAUAUUGUUUCGGUGGGGGAUGGGCUCGCGGCCUAUCAGCUUGUGGGUGGGGUGAUGGCCUACCCAGGCGGUGACGGGUAGCCGGCCUGGGAGGGUGGACGGGCACACUGGGACUGAGACACGGCCCAGAUGCCUACGGGAGGCAGCAGUGGGUAAUAUUGGACAAUGGGGGCGAGCCUGAUGCAGCGAGGGCGCGUGAGGGAUGGAGCCAUUCGGGGUGUGAGCCGCUGUCGCUAGUGAAGCAGAGCUGCCUCGUUUGUGGGUGGGUUGACGGUAGCUGGAUAAGAAGCGCCGGCUAACUCCGUG